UGGGGAAUAUUGCACAAUGGGCGCAAGCCUGAUGCAGCCAUGCCGCGUGUGUGAAGAAGGCCUUCGGGUUGUAAAGCACUUUCAGCGAGGAGGAAGGUGGUGAGCUUAAUACGCUCAUCAAUUGACGUUACUCGCAGAAGAAGCACCGGCUAACUCCGUGCCAGCAGCCGCGGUAAUACGGAGGGUGCAAGCGUUAAUCGGAAUUACUGGGCGUAAAGCGCACGCAGGCGGUUUGUUAAGUCAGAUGUGAAAUCCCCGGGCUCAACCUGGGAACUGCAUUUGAAACUGGCAAGCUAGAGUCUCGUAGAGGGGGGUAGAAUUCCAGGUGUAGCGGUGAAAUGCGUAGAGAUCUGGAGGAAUACCGGUGGCGAAGGCGGCCCCCUGGACGAAGACUGACGCUCAGGUGCGAAAAGCGUGGGGCAGCAAACAGGAUUAGAUACCCUGGUAGUCCACGCUGUAAAACGAUGUCGAUUUUGGAGGUUGUGCCCUUGAGGCGUGGCUUCCGGAGCUAACGCGUUAAAUCGACCGCCUGGGGAGUACGGCCGCAAGGUU
rnacentral:rRNA from 1 species